AUACUUGGAUAACUGUGGUAAUUCUAGAGCUAAUACAUGCAUUUAAAGAGAGACCAGUAAAAUGGAAUCUCUGCUUUUAUUAGAUUUAAACCAAUGGGGAGUGUUUCGGCAUUCUCAUAUAAAAUGGUUGAACUCUGGAUAAUUUGUUGAUCGCAUGGUCUCGUACCGGCGACAGAUCUUUCAAAUGUCUGCCCUAUCAACUAUUGAAGGUAGUGUCUUGGACUACCUUGGUUGCAACGGGUAACGGGGAAUCAGGGUUCGAUUCCGGAGAGGGAGCCUGAGAAACGGCUACCACAUCUAAGGAAGGCAGCAGGCGCGUAAAUUACCCACUCCCAGCACGGGGAGGUAGUGACGAAAAAUAACAAUACAAGACUCACAUCCGAGGCCUUGUAAUUGGAAUGAGUACACUUUAAAUCCUUUAACAAGGAUCAAUUGGAGGGCAAGUCUGGUGCCAGCAGCCGCGGUAAUUCCAGCUCCAAUAGCGUAUAUUAAAGUUGUUGCGGUUAAAACGUUCGUAGUUGAACUUGUGUUUCGCACGGGCAGUACCAAGGACCAGGCAACUGGGACGGUACCUUGUCUUAUCUUUUCAAUUUCUUUAUUGAUUUUGGAAAAAGUGCGUGAACGUAUUAUCGGCGUGUUCGUUCUUGUAACGUUCACAUAAGCCCAUUUCAGUGCUCUUAACCGAGUGUUGUUGUGGGCCGAUACAAAUUACUUUGAACAAAUUAGAGUGCUUAAAGCAGGCUUGCAAUGCCUGAAUAUUUUGUGCAUGGAAUAAUGAAAUAGGACAUCUGUUCUACUUUCAUUGGUUUUUUAGACCAAGAUGUAAUGAUUAAUGGAAGCAGUUGGGGGCAUUAGUAUUACAACGCGAGAGGUGAAAUUCUUAGACCGUUGUAAGACUGACUAAAGCGAAAGCAUUUGCCAAAGAUGUUUUCACUUAAUCAAGAACGAAAGUUAGAGGUUCGAAGGCGAUCAGAUACCGCCCUAGUUCUAACCAUAAACGAUGCCAGCUAGCAAUUGAAUGUAGCUACUACUAUGGCUCUUUCAGUCGCUUCUCGGGAAACCAAAGCUUUUGGGCUCCGGGGGAAGUAUGGUUGCAAAGCUGAAACUUAAAGGAAUUGACGGAAGGGCACCACCAGGAGUGGAGCCUGCGGCUUAAUUUGACUCAACACGGGAAAACUUACCAGGUCCGAACAUAAAUGAGUAAGACAGAUUGAUAGCUCUUUCUCGAAUCUAUGGGUGGUGGUGCAUGGCCGUUCUUAGUUCGUGGAGUGAUUUGUCUGGUUAAUUCCGAUAACGAACGAGACUCAAAUAUAUUAAAUAGAUGCAUUCAGGAUUAUGGCGUUGAAACUUUGCAUACCCUUUUUCCAUUUUAGCAGUUUCGGCUGUUAUUUUGGUUUUAUUGUGGUCGUGUAGGUGGAGUCAUACCUGUUUGUUUGUCUAAAUACACAAAAUAGACACUUAGCUUCUUAAAUGGACAAAUUGUGUCUAACAAUAAUGAGAUUGAGCA
rnacentral:rRNA from 1 species